CUCUGAAACUACAAGUCAAAUCGACCCCAAACUUUGCAGUCAGCAGGGCAUACAUGUACUAAAGGUUCAUAAAACAACGUGGUGCAGAUAUCUCUCAAGACUUUUCCUAGAGAAAAAAAAUGGCAAUGCUGUGAAAAUCGCUUGCUAGGUCCGUAAAUCUCAGUAAAAACCUACAAUAAAAUGUCCGCUCCUAGAUUGAAAUACUUAUCUGUGUUACAAACUGGUGCUGAAAAAUGUACAUUAUCAGAAAAUAAUCCUUAAAUGUGUAUUAAAGUUCCACCGGAUCAAUUAAAUCCCAAAC
rnacentral:lncRNA from 1 species